CGAAAAGGAAAGAAACCUAAUCCAAAAUCCCACCAGGCGAGCCUUCACCUGUCACUCUAACUCAUUCCAAAAUCGUUUACCAGUCGAGACCAUAUAUUUUUUCUGAAUAAAGUGGGAAAUAGGUUAUAGAAUCAGAAUGCAUCGAAUCGAAAUUUCGGUGGAUUCGGAGGAAAGGCAACGCAUCGAUUUUGUUAUAUCGAAGAAUAUGCCGCUCUUCAAGGUGAUGCAAGCUUACGCGGAUUACUAUCAGAUCAACCGUGAUACCCUGGCAUUCCGCUUACGUGGCCUCAAGAUUGGGGAUACCGAUACUGCUCGUCUUCUAAAUAUGCGUGCCAGGGAUAUUAUCAAAGUUGAGACAGUUACAGAAGGAGAAUAGAUCAAACCAAUUAUCAUGAUAACUAUUAUAAGAGGUCAACAGAGAAGACUUAUCAAGCUCGAAAUGAACAGGAAGUUACACAUUUCUUUCUCAUAUGGACAAUGCUUAGAGUGCCUCUAAUUCAAGUAGAUGAGUUCCUGCUCAAGAAAAAGUGCAUAUUUCAAUUCCAGAAAACAUUAUUCAUUUACAUAUAUAAUAUACAUUUACAGAAUACAAAAUCGUGCAAGAAAAACCCCGCAAA